rnacentral:rRNA from 1 species
UACGUAGGGUGCGAGCGUUGUCCGGAAUUAUUGGGCGUAAAGAGCUCGUAGGCGGUGUGUCACGUCGUUCGUGAAAACCUGCAGCUUAACUGUGGGCGUGCGGUCGAUACGGGCAUCACUGGAGUUCGGCAGGGGAGACUGGAAUUCCUGGUGUAGCGGUGAAAUGCGCAGAUAUCAGGAAGAACACCCGUGGCGAAGGCGGUUCUCUGGGCCUUACCUGACACUGAGGAGCGAAAGCGUGGGGAGCGAACAGG